GAUGAACGCUAGCGGCAGGCUUAAUACAUGCAAGUCGUGGGGCAGCAGCUUUAUAGCAAUAUAGAGGCUGGCGACCGGCAAACGGGUGCGGAACACGUACUGAACCUUCCUUUAAGUGGGGGAUAGCCCAGAGAAAUUUGGAUUAAUACCCCGUAACAUAUAGAAGUGGCAUCGCUUUUAUAUUAUAGCUCCGGCGCUUAAAGAUGGCUGUGCGGCUGAUUAGGUAGUUGGCGGGGUAACGGCCCACCAAGCCUACGAUCAGUAACUGGUGGGAGAGCACGACCAGUCACACGGGCACUGAGACACGGGCCCGACUCCUACGGGAGGCAGCAGUAAGGAAUAUUGGUCAAUGGACGCAAGUCUGAACCAGCCAUGCCGCGUGGAGGAUGAAGGUCCUCUGGAUUGUAAACUUCUUUUCUCUGGGGCGAAAACCUCCCAUUCUUGGGAGCUUGACAGUACCAGAGGAAUAAGCACCGGCUAACUCCGUGCCAGCCGCCGCCGUAAUAC
rnacentral:rRNA from 1 species